CGCCAAGAUGCGAUGUGUGGGUUUCACAUGAUUUCAGCGAAGCGGGCAACAAACCAAGCGUGGGGAGAGUUUACAUCCUAAAACCACCAAGGUAUCCAGGCAGACACAUUAUGUAAUAUGCUACAAAUUCAAGUACAGUACAUCCGCCUACAUCAUUACUGUGAUGUUUCCGGAAUUUCAAACCAUCCCAGCGGCUGGAGCAUCUGCUAACAUCAGUGUAACUGUGUAUGUGUGUGUGUGUGCUGCUUUGAACAAAGUCUGUAGAUGAACUGCUUUUAUUUUGUGCUCCAACAGAAUGGGAUCUGAUUGGUUAGGUUGUUCUAAACAAUGUGCAUCAUCAGUGUUACAGACAAGGAAUUUCCAGCUCAUGAUUUUGGUGGUGUGGUAAUGUUUGUUUUUCACGCUGGUUUAAGCGCACUUUCUCGCUCAGCACUCUUAAAUCAGGAUUAGAAGCUUAGACACAAUCAUCUCCUAAUUGGAUCAUGGCAGCUCUGUAGAACAGCUUAAGACAGGCCACUGGCCUCUCCCUCUUUCUCCUAUCUAACCUGGUUAGAGAUAAAUAAUGCACUUUGUCCCCAAGUCAUGUCAAACUGAUAAUGCAUACAUCCAUGUGAUAUUUUACAUUAAAAUCAAAAUAAAUAAAUAAAUUUGUUUAGAGAGAAGCCUGUUAUAGGACAGUUUCUAUGACAUUUACAGUUAUUUAUUUAUUACUCAUUUAAUUUUUAAUGUUAAGCAUUAGCACAAGGUCUAACAAGUGUAAAAAAUAAAAAUAAAAAAAGAAAAUAAAAAAAAGAAAUACAAUUUGUUUGACCCUUUAUUUCAUGUCACUGGUGUUAAUGUAAAAAAAAAAAAAUAUUGUGAUGUGACAUUUUUUCAUGACAAUUAAACGAAUUUAUGAAAAAAAUCAAUAAUAUUUCACAAUGUUACAGUUUUGUUUUUGAUUAAAUAAAUGCAGCCUUAAUUGCUGUGCCCCAGUAUUGCUGAAAGGCUAG
ensembl:lncRNA